CAACAGUGAAGAAGAUCAAGAAAAUUGGUGCAUUCAUCCAAAAGCUUUUUGGGUUCUCGGCACAGCCUAAGACUGUUGAAAUAUGUCAGGUUGACACAGCGCAAACAAGUGUUCCUGAGCCAGAAGCUGAAUUGGAUCUGGUUGAUCCGGAAGGUGUCCCAAGUCCAAGCGGUUCUGAAAAGGAACCUGUGCCAACAGAAAGUAUGGACGUCAACAUCACAGAUGCCAUGAACCCAACAGAAAGUACCAAAGUGAGCAAGAUUAGCAAAAUCUGUGCAUUCUUCAAAAAGCUUCAUGGCAUCACAGCAAAGCUUAAGACCAAACCUGAUGCACCACAGCGGUUGAGUGUCCCAGAUGCAAGCACUCCUGAUGUGACUGACCCAACAGGGCCUUUGAACACCAGUGUGACCGAUGAGGAUGCCGUGGAUUAUUCUCCUGAAACCCCUGAAGAUCACCGGCCAACAGGAAUCACCAAAGAGUGGAUGAUGAAUAAACUUUCUGAAUUCUACUACAAGCUUACAAGUCCUAGACACGAUCUUGGAAAGCCGGGUCCAAGCAGUUUGCCUCCUCACAAACUGCUGGAAGAAAUUUUCGACUUUGAGAAGCUUGCAGAGUUAUUACAAAUAGAAGCCACCGUGAACAAAUGUACACUGCCCCUGUCACCAUAUACGGAGGUCUGGCGCAAUGUCUACAUUGGAGAUGAGUAAGUCUACAGCACAAAAACAGCAUAGACCAUGUGAUAAACUAAAAUGAGGGAGUAUUAAUAGGAAUCAAGUAAG
rnacentral:lncRNA from 1 species